rnacentral:lncRNA from 1 species
GAAGAUUAAAUUUGAUCAAAAUUAGAUGAGUCAUAUUUUUAUAGGCUAAUUUUAUCAAUCCGCAUUACAAAGCAUGACUCAUUAUAUAUAUAGUUCUCUCAUAGAAUUCCUAGGCACAUCACAAAACUCUGGAUAUCCCAAAGGCAAAAAUGUAUUCUAAGUCAAUUUCUCUCAUCGUCUUUUGCUUUGCUAUGGUCAUGGUUUCAAAUAGUUUUGUUGCGCGAGGUGUUCAUAGGACAUUUUUCAUGGAUCCUGAAAGAAGUCAUAUGAUUGCACCACAACCCUCAUCACACGAUACAUAUUCUAUCAAAACAUUUUUUAUGAAAAAUAUUUCUCUUCAUAUCCAACACAUCCGGCAUAGUAUAGCCCCAAAUCCAUCGAUUGAUGUUUUAGAGAUUAGUCUCAUACCAAGUCCAUCGCCUAGUGACACUAUUGCAGAGGCACCACUUUGAUCUUAAUUAUCAUUUUGAAGAGUGUGGAGGUAAAUCAAAGGAAACUGAGUUACUAAGAUUCCUUAUAUCUAUAUGAAUUUAAAAUAUCAGAUAAUAUUCAAGUCAAACUCUACAUACAUAGUUCUAUUAAAUAAUUUGUAAAAGUAUGUACCAGUAUGAUUUUAUUUUUAAAAUUAGAGGCAGGGAAAAGAAAUAUUGAAGGAGGAGAUUAAUAAAGCGAAAGUUCAGAUAGUCGAUCAACUGAGUUAUUAAAAUUCCUCAAUAUAUCAAAUAUAAAUUUAAGUUGUAUGUUAGUCCUGAAGAUUUUUUGAAUUUAUUGGAUCAUUAGUAUUGAAAUGUGAACUCAUUUUAUGUAAAAGUUUAAAUUUGCAUGAAUAAAUUUUUUAUGUUGAAGUGUGUAGAAAUGUAGAAGCUUAAUUUGUCAAACUUUGUUUACUCACUUAUGUCUUGAACGUGGAUUUUUAGCAUACCUUUAUCUGAUUAAAUAUUCUUUUUUGGUCCUAAAAUAUAAAAGUUGAAAUAAAUAGUAAUUGUAUUUAAAUAAGAAAUAAAGCAAUUAACAAGUAGGUGCAUCAUAUAUUAGAAGCUUAAAGCAAGGAGAAAUACACAAUUAUUUAAAUAAAUAAAUAAAUUAUUUUAUGUGAUUACGUGACAAUUAACAAUUGUAUUAUUGCCUACUUGAAAGUUGUUUUUUAAUUUAUUUUUUCAUCCCCCUCUCUUUGUCACAUCAAU